GUCAGUAAGAGCUGCAGGCGCUGCUAGGAAGGGGAGUGUGCUCGGUGCUGGACAGCAGCCUCCCCUCUCCAUGCCUAUUUUAGUCCCAUCUCCCCGGCCACUGAUCAGCUUCUCCUCUACUCCCGGCUCUCACUGACAAAACUUUUCCCGGGACCCCCUGGGGGAGCCAGCCCUGCUCUGCCUGCACCACCCAGGUAAGGGGACCAGCCAUAUCUAGGGACUGGGCACCAAUACUAAGGAGGGACUGGGCACCCAUACUAAGGAGGGACUGGCACCCAUACAAGCUGGAGUGUGACAGAGGGCGGGAGGCUGACACAAACUUGGGCUGAUGAUGAUUCCACAUUCCGAGUGAUGAGAUACAAAGUGUCAACCUGCAAGUUCUGUGUGUUUGUGAUUCAGCACUGAGAGGGUAUAGCACUUACCCAGUAAAGUGUGCCCCAUACUCUACAUGGCAUGGAUAACUGGCAGUAUACUUCUUUUGAUGCUAUAGAUUUUGUCAAAUGAAAACUGCAAAAAAUGGUGAAUGCAUGUUUCUUUUAUUGUAUAGGGAAUGGCAGGUUUUUCUGGAGGGAUCCCCAUGGGCUUUGCUCUUGGAACACUAUCACAGGAAAUCCCUGAAUCCCUUGAUAUAUAUAAACGGAGGCAAGCAGGGCUGGCUGAUUUCAAAUGGUGCUCCAACUACAGCAAUUGUUAGAUGUUUG